UGUUAUACUAAUUUUAACUAGGCUUUUAAGUUGUAGCCCGGUUUAACCAUAAUCCUUUUCAUCUCUUAGAAACUGUAGGCCUACCGAUUCUCUUUCACCUUCUCCGGCGAUGUAACGAUGUAGUUAUGACCUUCAAUCACGUUAUCCCACUAAACUCACAACCACCCCCUCUUCAUUGCUUCUUUAAUUACACAUUUUAAAGCUUAAUUUUGUGUAUAUCUACACCUUCUGAGAGCCCCCUGCAAUUCCCUUACUUUCAUAAAACCUAAAAAUAUAUCGCUCAUGUUCUCUUUUAAUGGACGAUAGUUGGCAAUUUCUCAGUUUUAUUUCUCUGAUUUGAGUCAGGCGGCUAUAAACAGUCAGUUCAGGCAAGAUUCGUAUGUGUUUCUCGGAAGCCAAUAAAGUAAUGAAAAGAGGAUAGACAAAUCCAGGAAUCAAUUAAUGUGCAACUAUUCAACACCUUAAAAAAAAUGAAGUAUCUAGCUUAAUGUUUUGUAUUUCAUAUGAAGGAGAAACCCUUACUUCCGGUUUGGAGAAA